rnacentral:rRNA from 1 species
UGAAUACGAGAUGCUACGGCGUCGAAGCAGUCUAUGUCAUACUUCCAAGAAAAGCUUGCACUGUCAUAAACAAAUAAUGCCUGUACCAUAACCGACACAGGUGGGUAGGUAGAGUAUACUAAGGGGCGCGAGAUAACUCUCUCUAAGGAACUCGGCAAGAUGACUCCGUAACUUCGGGAGAAGGAGUGCCUUAUUUAUAAGGUUGCAAUAACAAGAUCCAAGCAACUGUUUACCAAAAACACAGGUCUCCGCUAAGUCGUAAGACGAUGUAUGGGGGCUGACGCCUGCCCAGUGCCAGAAGGUUAAAGAAGUUGGUUAGCAUCCGCGAAGCUGAUAACUGAAGCCCUGGUGAACGGCGGCCGUAACGAUAACGGUCCUAAGGUAGCGAAAUUCCUUGUCGGGUAAGUUCCGACCCGCACGAAAGGCGUAAUGAUUUGGAUACUGUCUCGGAGAGGGGCUCGGUGAAAUAGACUUGUCUGUGAAGAUGCGGACUACCUGCACCAGGACAGAAAGACCCUAUGAAGCUUUACUGUAACCUGAAAUUGAAAUUGGACUUUACUUGCGCAGUAUAGGUGGGAGGCGUUGAGAAUAUUCUUGCGGGAUUAUUGGAGCCAUCAGUGAGAUACCACUCUUGUAAUGUUAGAUUUCUAACUUUGUAUCAUUAUCUGGUCAAAGAACAGUUUCAGGCGGGCAGUUUGACUGGGGCGGUCGCCUCCUAAACGGUAACGGAGGCGCACAAAGGUUUCCUCUGAACGGGUAGAAAUCGUAUCUAGAGUGUAAAGGCAUAAGGAAGCUUGACUGUGAGACCUACAAGUCGAGCAGGGACGAAAGUCGGUCUUAGUGAUCUGACGGUGCUGAGUGGAAAGGCCGUCACUCAACGGAUAAAAGUUACUCUAGGAUAACAGGCUGAUCUCCCCCAAGAGUUCACAUCGACGGGGAGGUUUGGCACCUCGAUGUCGGCUCAUCGCAUCCUGGGGCGGUAGUACGUCCCAAGGGUUGGGCUGUUCGCCCAUGAAAGCGGUACGCGAGCUGGGUUCAGAACGUCGUGAGACAGUUCGGUCCAUAUCCGGUGUAGGCGUUAGAAUAUUGAGAGGAGCCUUCUUUAGUACGAGAGGACCGAGAAGGACAUACCUCUGGUGUACCAGUUAUCGUGCCAACGGUAAACGCUGGGUAGCUAUGUGUGGAGUGGAUAACCGCUGAAAGCAUCUAAGUGGGAAGCCCACCUCAAGAUAAG